UUGAGCGGAGUUUAGCGGGUACAUUUUCGAUCUCGAUUCGAUAGCACAGCUAAGUGAAGGGGCAUUGUUUUGAUGAAGAAGAUCCAGUCUGAUAAAAACGAACGAGAUUAGAGGUUAUCUCGGGUUUGUUUAUCCGGUUCACGAGGCGAUGAGAGCGUAACUCGACUUUUUUUCUGGCAGGUUAUUUUUUUACUUAGAAAAGUCCGAAUGCUAACUAGCCUCCAGAGCUAACGUCAGCUAACUAACUGGAGUGUUGUGAUGUCCUGCGGCGGUGCAACGUUUUCUUGUUUCGUUGUCAACUCCAGCAGCUCGUAAAGAACAGAAAGCCGGCGUUUUGGAUGGCGGUGGCUCCUGCCUGGAUGGCAGAUAAAAUCAUUGUGCUUGAUGAGGAAGACAAAGAAGAAGAGAGUCCUCAGCCCUCCUCCUCUGCCUCCAAAUCAAGCCCUGACCUUCAAGCCAAAAAUGUCUCGCCGCUCAAAGCUCAGCAGCCAGUGCCCACACACAUUACCCAGUCACCCUUCGCUACAGCGAAGAAGACCACGCAGUGUCUGCAGGCAGAGAAUCAGAAGUUGUUCACUGAGUUUGUGGAGCACUGCAGGCCCCUCACAGAGGACUGCCCAGAGGUCUUGACCUUCCUCCAGACAAAGCACUCCAAGGCCUGCCCAGACUUCCUGUCAUCAGUUGAGUUGAGGAACACUUUGGGACGAUGUUUGACUCGCGCUCAGGCCAACCGCUCUAAAACAUUUGUCUACAUCAAUGAACUGUGUACUGUGCUCAAGCAGCAUGCCAUCAAGAAGAGGCAAACCCUCUCCAAGGUUGACCCUGGGCCUUCUACCUCAACAUCAAGUGAUCUUCAGUCUACCUCUGUCACGCUUGAAAGUACAAACAAGAGUAAAGGUAACCUGGACGAGGAGGAAGAAGGUGUGCAGCCGGCAGCAGAUGAAGAGCAGCCUUCAACCUCAGGACAGCAAGAGAACAGAGAGGCAGACCGAGAAGAGGAGAGAAAAGCUAAAAGAGCUUCCAGGAAGCAGAUAGGGUACCUGGAGAACCUGCUGAAGGUGUACAACGAGGAGAUCUGCCGCCUGCAGCAGGCUGAGCUGAGUCUCACUGACAUGGAAGCGGAGGACUCGUUAUACAUCCAGGAGCACAAACUCAAACGCAAGAUGAUGAAGAUUUAUGAGAAACUGUGUGAACUAAAGGGCUGCAGCACACUAACAGGCCGAGCCAUUGAACAGAGAAUCACCUACAAAAGCACUCGUUACCCUGAGAUCAACAGGAGGAUCGAGCGUUUCAUCAACAGUCCCGAGGUACGACAGAACCCUCCUGAUUACCAGGACAUCCUCCAGCAGGUGUUGCGUGCCAACGAUCGCCACAACCUCUGCUUGACCAGGAAGCAUAUAAACCAGAUCGCCCAGGAGGCGUUCAGAGAGACCGGGAGCCGCAUACAGGAGCGCCGUCACCUGGACCUCGUCUACAACUUUGGCUCUAGCCUCACCGACGCUUAUAAGCCUGCCACAGACCCGGCUCUGAAGGACCCCUCACUGCUGAAGAAACUGCGGUCGAACCGAGAAGUUGCUCUAACCAGCCUGGAGGAGGUCAUCAAGAAGUACGCUGUGAAACAGGACGACACGGAGGAGGAGGAGAGGAACAAACGACUGCAGAAAGACAGGAAGGACAAAGAGGGCCGCACGUCAGGAAAAAAAGUGGAAACUGAAGAGAUGAAUGGCGUGUCUGAGGAGGAGGAGGAAGAGGAUGAAGAUGAUGAAUCCUCAGAUCCAGACAUAGAGGAAGAGAUCCAGGCCAGCACUCAGCAGGAUGGACCAGAUGAAGAAGACGACGAGGAAGACGACAUUAACGAGGUGGAACAAGCGAGCGAAGGCACCCACAAGGAGGAUCAGAACGAUGAUCAGAUUGGACACGUUUCUGCAGGCGAAGAAGGAAGCUUGAAAGAUGAGGACGAGCAGGUUACGAGUCCUGCUUCUGAUGAGACCAAGUCCCAGAUCUCUCCACUGUCUGAUAUCCCUUCCCCCACAGAAAGCCCCAGCCAAUCAGAGCCCAUGCAGACUGAUGACCAGAGGCCGUUAUCGAAUGGCGACCACAAGAGCUUACAGGAACCUGCAGAUUCUUCCAGUCAUGAGUCAGUCGUCCUCUUAAACUACAACCAAGACGGAACGGGCCUCGCAGCAGCAGCCAAUGGGAAAGCAUCUCCGUCAUCGCCAGAAGACGGCGUGGAAAGGUGCGGCACGCAGACAAGCAAUGGCACGUCUCCGCCGCCCAGCCCCAGAACCACGAGGAGCCAGAAGAGGAAGUGGGAGGAAAGGAACUCGCAGAGUAGAAAAACCUAAUCAUCCACGACAGUGAUGCGGACAUCCCUCUGGAUAUGGGCGUUGUGAGCUGCAACUCUCCAGAGACCACCCGAGCAAACACGCCAACGCAGGAAGUGGUCAGCAGCUCGCAGUCCACACCGCCACCGAAGAAAAACAAGGUCAACGUGGCAACACAGUGUGACCCAGACGAGAUCAUCGUCCUGUCAGACUCGGAAUGACCUUUAACCUCUGAACUCUGACUAGCUUCUCACCUGCUCUCUUUGGUCGACUUCCUGAGGUUUCACAUCCUCCUCUUCCAGCUCGUGUUCGACGCAGAGACUUUUCUUCCGUUUUUGCGAACUACUUUGACAAAGUCCACGAGAGCCAUUUACAGCAGAGGAAGUCUGAGAGGUUUGAAGCAGAUAAAAGCCAACACGACUGUUUUUGUAAAGAACUGGAAUGAAAUUUUUGUGAUUCAAUGUGUAUAAACGCCAGCUGAAGCAGCAGGUUCUGGGAUGCCUCUGCUGUGCACUACAGAAUAAAGUUUUCAUUUGAUCCGAGCAGGGAAACUCGAGUUGACGCUGACCUCGGCUGCUUCUUGCUCUUUGGAUACGAAAACUAACCGCCGAUGCAAGCAGAGCAAAGCCACUCGUUGUGUCGCUAAAAAUGGUGAAAUACAUUCUGUUUUUUUACUGCUCUGAAGCUGAAAAUACUUCACUGGGAUUCUUUUUACUCGACCUGAACGCUGAUUUGUGGUUGGUGUGUUUUUAGGUAACAAUCAGUGCCUGAUUAAAAAAUGAACUGAGCAGUCAGACGUGAGGCCCAGAUGUUGAAUUUCACUGGUCAUGGCUGCUCUGGCAAACUUCCAGUUUGUUUACAUUUUUAUAUUUCAAAUCUGUUCUUUCUCAACAGAGCGGGCGGUGAGGUGAUGGUCUGUAUUAAAGUCUUUCUAUUGA